GACUGCUCUGGUGAUUUAGUGGAUAGAGUGUCUGCCUCGGAUGUGUAAGGUCAUGGGUUCGAACCCCAGCUGAGUCA